GGAUAGAGGCGCGUUUGCCAAGAGUAGCGGGAGUCACGGGCGGUUUUGCCCGCCGCGAAAGGGGCCGACGCCGAAGGGACCGGAAAAAACCGUCCGGCGUCCCUGGGCCGUGGGAGAAGAUCUCACGGACUGUCACGUUUUUCGUGGAGCGCUAUCGU
rnacentral:ncRNA from 1 species